rnacentral:rRNA from 1 species
AUUGAACGCUGGCGGCAUGCCUUACACAUGCAAAUCGAACGGUAACGGGCCUUCGGGUGCCGACGAGUGGCGAACGGGUGAGUAAUACAUCGGAACGUGCCCGAUCGUGGGGGAUAACGAGGCGAAAGCUUUGCUAAUACCGCAUACGAUCUACGGAUGAAAGCAGGGGACCGCAAGGCCUUGCGCGGACGGAGCGGCCGAUGGCAGAUUAGGUAGUUGGUGGGAUAAAAGCUUACCAAGCCGACGAUCGGUAGCUGGUCUGAGAGGAUGAUCAGCCACACUGGGACUGAGACACGGCCCAGACUCCUACGGGAGGCAGCAGUGGGGAAUUUUGGACAAUGGGCGCAAGCCUGAUCCAGCCAUGCCGCGUGCAGGAUGAAGGCCUUCGGGUUGUAAACUGAUUUUGUACGGAACGAAAAGCCUUCUUUUAAUACAGGAGGGUCAUGACGGUACCGUAAGAAUAAGCACCGGCUAACUACGUG